UACGAAGGUGGCAAGCGUUGUUCGGAUUUACUGGGCGUACAGGGAGCGUAGGCGGUUGGAUAAGCCCUCCGUGGAAUCUCCAGGCUUAACCUGGAAAGUGCAGAGGGGACUGUUCAGCUAGAGGAUGGGAGAGGAGCGCGGAAUUCCCGGUGUAGCGGUGAAAUGCGUAGAGAUCGGGAGGAAGGCCGGUGGCGAAGGCGGCGCUCUGGAACAUUUCUGACGCUGAGGCUCGAAAGCGUGGGGAGCAAACAGG
rnacentral:rRNA from 1 species